AUUGAACGCUGGCGGCAGGCCUAACCCAUGCAAGUCGAGCGGAGCGGCGGACGGGUGAGUAAUGCCUAGGAAUCUGCCUGGUAGUGGGGGAUAACGUCCGGAAACGGGCGCUAAUACCGCAUACUAUCAGAUGAGCCUCGGGAGGAUUAGCUAGUUGGUGGGGUAAAGGCCUACCAAGGCGACGAUCCGUAACUGGUCUGAGAGGAUGAGCAGUCACCCUGGAACUUAGACACGGUCCAGACUCCUAGGAGAGGCAGCAGUUGAGAAUAUUGGACAAGGGGCGAAAGCCUGAUCCAGCAAUGCCGCGUGUGUGAAGAAGGUCUUCGGAUUGUAAAGCACUUUAAGUUUGGAGGCGUUACCAACAGAAUAAGCACCGGCUAACUUCGUGCCAGCCGCCGCGGUAAUUC
rnacentral:rRNA from 1 species